AUGAUUAUGUGUGUCUCUCUAAAAGGGUGGACUGGGGCUGUUUAAAUCCAUUCUGAUCCUACUGGCAAAGCUCAAACCAAGAUCAGCAGCUCUGGAAAUAUUUGGGGAAAGUUUUGUUUGUUUGUUUUUAAAUUUACUUUCUGAUUUUUCAUUCUUUAAAAGAGCAAAAAACCCUCUCUAUCUGGUCUGGUCUCUAUCACUUGGUUCCCUACAGGAGUGGAGGCACCAGAGCUGCAGGGGAGAGGCUGCCUGGAAAGUCAAAACAGGGCAGAAAGCAUCAGCUGUUCCAGGAAAUAACCUGUCUUUGCACAUUUCCUCAUGUUCAGGCUUCACUAUUAUGAAUGCAAGCACUGUGAUGAGAGAAGAGGAAAAUAAAACCAUCCUCCAUUUUGCUGAGUGCCAGCAGUGUGAACAAAAAUAUAAGGUGCUUCAGGGCAGGAAGAAACUGUGAAGAAAUAGGUUUUUGAAUUCCAUUUGUCUCGGAUUGUCUGAAAAUUGUCUCAAGAGCUGCCUUCUGGAGACAGCUGCCCUGCUCUGAGAGAGGGCAGAGACGUGUGUGGGGGUCUCAGACUGGGACAGGACUCAGGGUGCAGCUGCCUCUG
rnacentral:lncRNA from 1 species